GGGGAAUCUUGCACAAUGGGGGAAACCCUGAUGCAGCGAUGCCGCGUGAGUGAAGAAGGCCUUUGGGUUGUAAAGCUCUUUCGUCGGGGAAGAAAAUGACUGUACCCGAAUAAGAAGGUCCGGCUAACUUCGUGCCAGCAGCCGCGGUAAUACGAAGGGACCUAGCGUAGUUCGGAAUUACUGGGCUUAAAGAGCUCGUAGGUGGUUAGAAAAGUUGGUGGUGAAAUCCCAAGGCUUAACCUUGGAACUGCCACCAAAACUUUUUGACUAGAGUAUGAUAGAGGUAAGUGGAAUUUCUAGUGUAGAGGUGAAAUUCGUAGAUAUUAGAAAGAACACCAAUUGCGAAGGCAACUUUCUGGAUCAUUACUGACACUGAGGAGCGAAAGCAUGGGUAGCGAAGAGG
rnacentral:rRNA from 1 species